GAUGAACGCUAGCUACCGGUUUAACCAUGCAAGUCGAGGGGCAUCAGGAAGAAAGCUUGCUUUCUUUGCUGGCGACCGGCGCACGGGUGAGUAACACGUAUCCAACCUGCCCUUUACUCGGGGAUAGCCUUUCGAAAGAAAGAUUAAUACCCGAUAGUAUAAUGAUUCCGCAUGGUUUCAUUAUUAAAGGAUUCCGGUAAAGGAUGGGGAUGCGUUCCAUUAGGUUGUUGGUGAGGUAACGGCUCACCAAGCCUUCGAUGGAUAGGGGUUCUGAGAGGAAGGUCCCCCACAUUGGAACUGAGACACGGUCCAAACUCCUACGGGAGGCAGCAGUGAGGAAUAUUGGUCAAUGGGCGCUAGCCUGAACCAGCCAAGUAGCGUGAAGGAUGAAGGCUCUAUGGGUCGUAAACAUCUUUUAUAUGAGAAUAAAGUGCAGUAUGUAUACUGUUUUGUAUGUAUUAUAUGAAUAAGGAUCGGCUAACUCCGUGCCAGCAGCCGCGGUAAUACGGAGGAUCCGAGCGUUAUCCGGAUUUAUUGGGUUUAAAGGGAGCGUAGGUGGACUGGUAAGUCAGUUGUGAAAGUUUGCGGCUCAACCGUAAAAUUGCAGUUGAUACUGUCAGUCUUGAGUACAGUAGAGGUGGGCGGAAUUCGUGGUGAAGCGGUGAAAUGCUUAGAUAUCACGAAGAACCCCGAUUGCGAAGGCAGCACACUAAGCCGUAACUGACGUUCAUGCUCGAAAGUGUGGGUAUCAAACAGG
rnacentral:rRNA from 1 species